rnacentral:rRNA from 1 species
UACGUAGGGUGCGAGCGUUAAUCGGAAUUACUGGGCGUAAAGCGUGCGCAGGCGGUUUUGUAAGCCAGAUGUGAAAUCCCCGGGCUUAACCUGGGAAUGGCAUUUGGGACUGCAAGGCUCGAGUGCGGCAGAGGAGACUGGAAUUCCUGGUGUAGCGGUGAAAUGCGCAGAUAUCAGGAGGAACACCAGUGGCGAAGGCGCCGCUCUGGGCCGUGACUGACGCUGAGGAGCGAAAGCGUGGGUAGCAAACAGG